GGCAAUCGGACUAAGGAAGGUGGGUACCAGGUAGAAAAGUACCAUCGGUACCUGGUAACCCAAAGACCCAAGAGAGAGUGGGUAACUCAGAGUCCGAUAGCCCAAAAAGAGAGUGGGCAAUCGGACUAAGGAAGGUGGGUACCAGGUAGAAAAGUACCAUCGGUACCUGGUAACCCAAAGACCCAAGAGAGAGUGGGUAACUCAGAGUCCGAUAGCCCAAAAAGAGAGUGGGCAAUCGGACUAAGGAAGGUGGGUACCAGGUAGAAAAGUACCAUCGGUACCUGGUAACCCAAAGACCCAAGAGAGAGUGGGUAACUCAGAGUCCGAUAGCCCAAAAAGAGAGAGGGCAAUCGGACUAAGGAAGGUGGGUACCAGGUAGAAAAGUACCACCGGAAACCCAGUGUGGACUUAGGUACUGGGUGGAAAGCGGCCGGGUGACCAGGUGCACAUGGGCCUUUUUUGGGCCUUUUUUGGGUCACCAGGUGCACAAGAUCCAUUUUGGGUUCCCAGGUGCACAACGUUCAUUUUGGGUCACCAGGUGCACGCGGUUCGUAAGAGCGCGGCUAUCUGCUUUAUAGCCCGAGGAAGGGUGCUUAAGUGUGGGUGCCCUGGUUCACCUGGUGUGCGAGGUUGUGGAGGUGGGGGGGUCCCCUGCUGGAAUCAUCCCCGGAAAUAGAGUGGUGUUACCCGGGUGGUGAGUGAGGGCCUAACUGCCUGAAGGUCCAUAUUUCCACUGUCCUUAAGGGGGGCAGAGCAGUCAGCCUCUGGUGAGCUGCUCUGUCCCCCUUUUUUUAGGCCCAUUUCCCCAAUCACCAGGCCCAGAGUUGGACAUAGUGCAAUUUCUGUGAUUUAUUUACCAUACAUUUUGGGUUACCAGUUGCACGUUUUCAAUCACCAGUUGCACAACAAUCAGUAUCCAUCGUGAUAUUUUAAACAGUCCAUAAAGCACUCAGGACGGCCCUGACAGAGAGAGGGCCGUAGUAGGGUGCUUCCAUAUCGGGCAUUAAUAUGAGAAUGACCCUUAAAUGCAUUUAGGACCAUAUUUUAAUUUUUGGGUUCCCAGGUGCACGUUUUCAAUCACCAGUUGCACAACAAUGAGUAUCCAUCAGAACAUGUUAAAGUGUCCAUAAAUCCCUCAGGACGGCCCCUAUGGAAAGAGGGCCGUAGUAGGGUACUCCUAUAACAGGGCAUUAAUAUCAGAAUGACCGGUAAAUGCAUUUUGGAGCUUAUUUUAAUUUUUGGGUUCCCAGGUGCACAUUUCAAAUCACCAGUUGCACAACAAUGAGUAUCCAUCAGAACAUGUUAAAGUUCCAUAAAUCCCUCAGGACGGCCCCUAUGGAAAGGGGCCGUAGUAGGGUACUCCUAUAACAGGGCAUUAAUAUCAGAAUGACCGGUAAAUGCAUUUUGGAGCUUAUUUUAAUUUUUGGGUUCCCAGGUGCACAUUUCAGAUCACCAGUUGCACAACAAUGAGUAUCCAUCAGAACAUGUUAAAGUGUCCAU
ensembl:lncRNA